rnacentral:rRNA from 1 species
ACAAGCCUGAGAAACGGCUAGUAGGACUAAGGUCUGCAGCAGGCGCGAAACUUACACAAUGCUAGAUUACGAAAUGACAUAGCGAUGUAGUGAAGAAAAAUAACGAUGUACUUACAUUUAAACAUGUUAGUACAAUUGGAAUGAGACGACUCUAAACCAGUCAGUCGAGUAACAAAUGGAGGGCAAGUCUGGUGCCAGCAGCCGCGGUAAUUCCAGCUCCAUUAGCAUACAUUAAAGUUGUUGCGGUUAAAAAGCUCGUAGUUGAAUUUUGGACGGGCUCUAUUGGGGUGCAACCGUUAAGGUUUAUAUUAAGUUGGUUCGCCCAUUUUUUAUCAAACUGGUUGUAUUUCCCCUAUAGGAACCCGUUGUUUCGUCACUUAAUCGAGUGCGAAGCGGGCCGGUACUAUCGAAAACCUCCGGGUUUUCAAGUAACGGCAUGUUUACCUUGAGAAAAUUAGAGUGCUCACAGCAGGCAGUUGGGGUGUAAAAGCUCCUUUAUGCUUGAAUAAUGUUGCAUGGAAUAAUAGAAUACGGCCUCGGUUCUAUUCUGUUGGUCUUAUAGAACAACAAAAAAGUUGAUUAAAGCGAUCAAAAGUCCUUUUUGAGUGUGGCUUUGUGAUAUUUAAGUAAAUCAAAUCAUUCUGGUAUUGUUGUCUGGGGCCUUAAAAUCUCAGUACCUUGCUAGUUUUGAAUCUUGGUCCUUAAAUUCACCUAGUCAUUUAAAGCACUCUUAAUGUGGCUAGCUUUCUAAUCAACUGAGGCAAUGGUUAAAAGAAAUAGUCGCGGCGGCAUCAGUACUGCAUCGUGAGAG